rnacentral:rRNA from 1 species
AUGGGUGCCCUCCCCCCAACUGCUGGUCCGGCGUCGGGCACAACGCACUUGGCUACGGCCUCUACGUCCUCCCCUGGAGUCAGCCCAUCCCCCACCUCUACGGCGCAGCUAGCCCUGCUGGUACUGCCGUCGACUAUGGGCUUGGCACGUGACCUGCAGCCGGUCUUCCUCCCCUCCCGAGCCACGGAGAUGGCUAAAGUGCGGAGGCGACAAGGCUACAGUGCUUCUGCAGUCAAGGUGCUCCUCAAGGUGGGUGCUUGUUGGCGCUGCUCCGGCCCCGGCGACCUCGGGUCCGCGUCUCUCCGGUGCCCACGGCCUCUGGUAUCCUCUGCCGGGCAGCUCCGCCCUCGGUGGCCCAGCAGUUGCGUCAUUUAA